rnacentral:rRNA from 1 species
UACGUAGGGUGCAAGCGUUAAUCGGAAUUACUGGGCGUAAAGCGUGCGCAGGCGGUUGUGCAAGGCAGGUGUGAAAUCCCCGGGCUUAACCUGGGAACUGCACUUGUGACUGCACAGCUGGAGUACGGCAGAGGGGGAUGGAAUUCCGCGUGUAGCAGUGAAAUGCGUAGAUAUGCGGAGGAACACCGAUGGCGAAGGCAGUCCCCUGGGUCAACACUGACGCUCAGGCACGAAAGCGUGGGGAGCAAACAGG